GGACCCGUAGCUCAACUGGAUAGAGCACUGCGCUUCGAACGCAGCGGUUGGGAGUUCAAGUCUCUCCGGGUCCGCCA
rnacentral:tRNA from 1 species